rnacentral:rRNA from 1 species
AGAGUUUGAUCCUGGCUCAGAACGAACGCUGGCGGCGUGCCUAACACAUGCAAGUCGAACGGAUUUGAGGGGCUUGCUCCUCAAGUUAGUGGCGCACGGGUGAGUAACGCGUAGAUAAUCUGCCUGAUGAUCCGGGAUAACACUUCGAAAGGGGUGCUAAUACCGGAUAAGCCCACGGAGUCUUUGGACUUUGCGGGAAAAGGGGGGGACUUUCGGGCCUUCUGUCAUCAGAUGAGUCUGCGUACCAUUAGCUAGUUGGUAGGGUAAUGGCCUACCAAGGCUACGAUGGUUAGCUGGUUUGAGAGAAUGAUCAGCCACACUGGAACUGAGACACGGUCCAGACUCCUACGGGAGGCAGCAGUGGGGAAUUUUGCGCAAUGGGCGAAAGCCUGACGCAGCAACGCCGCGUGAGUGAUGAAGGCUUUCGGGUCGUAAAGCUCUGUCGAGGGGAAAGAAGUGUAUUGUGGCUAAUAUCCACGAUACUUGACGGUACCCCUAAAGGAAGCACCGGCUAACUCCGUGCCAGCAGCCGCGGUAAUAC